rnacentral:rRNA from 1 species
CAAUAGCGUAUAUUAAAGUUGUUGCAGUUAAAAAGCUCGUAGUUGGAUUUGUGGUGUGUCCAGUCGGCCUUUGCUCUCUGAGUGAUUGUGCUGUACUGGUCUGCCAUGUUUGGGUGGAAUCUGUGUGGCAUUAAGUUGUCGUGCAGGGGAUGCCCAUCGUUUACUGUGAAAAAAUUAGAGUGUUCAAAGCAGGCUUAUGCCGUUGAAUAUAUUAGCAUGGAAUAAUGAUAUAGGACCUUGGUACUAUUUUGUUGGUUUGCGCACUAAGGUAAUGAUUAAGAGGGACAGUUGGGGGUAUUUGUAUUCCAUUGUCAGAGGUGAAAUUCUUAGAUUUUUGGAAGACAAACUACUGCGAAAGCAUUUACCAAGGAUGUUUNCAUUA